CUGAAGGAGACCCAAAAGAUCGAUUGACCUCUGUUUGCACUUGGUGAUUUAAUAUCUGCACUUGUCUCCACAUUCCAUCACUCAUGGUCUAAAGUUUACUACUCUAAGUACUUGGUUAGGACAAAUAUUCGAGAUUCACGGUUUUCCUGGUGUUGUUCCUCUACUCACCUUUACAGCCUUCAAACUCCGUCCCCUCUCUUUUUCUCCCCAUCUCCGCCGUAUCUCUCUCUUCAUCCUCGACAGAAGCUCAUAUUGGAACCUCUCCAUGACUGGUUUGGAACUCUGACCACCCUAAAA